GUGAGAUGUUGGGUUAAGUCCCGCAACGAGCGCAACCCUCGUUCUAUGUUGCCAGCACGUUAUGGUGGGGACUCAGUGGAGACCGCCGGGGUCAACUCGGAGGAAGGUGGGGAUGACGUCAAGUCAUCAUGCCCCUUAUGUCCAGGGCUUCACGCAUGCUACAAUGGCUGGUACAGAGAGUGGCGAGCCUGUGAGGGUGAGCGAAUCUCGGAAAGCCGGUCUCAGUCCGGA
rnacentral:rRNA from 1 species